AGGACGAACGCUGGCGGCGUGCUUAACACAUGCAAGUCGAGCGGAAAGGCCCUUCGGGGUACUCGAGCGGCGAACGGGUGAGUAACACGUGAGCAACCUGCCCUUAGCUCUGGGAUAGCUCCGGGAAACCGGAAUUAAUACCGGAUAUGACCUAGGCCGACGAUCGGCCGUGGUGGAAAGUUUUUCGGCUAGGGAUGGACUCGCGGCCUAUCAGCUAGUUGGUGGGGUAAUGGCCUACCAAGGCGACGACGGGUA
rnacentral:rRNA from 1 species